rnacentral:ncRNA from 1 species
CACAAAAAAAGGUAAACCGGCUGAAAGGCCGGGACACAAAGCUAUGGGCCUAAGGCUGUUUUGGCUAUGGCUGCCAGGUUGCUUGU